rnacentral:rRNA from 1 species
UGGGGAAUAUUGCACAAUGGAGGGAACUCUGAUGCAGCGACGCCGCGUGAACGAAGAAGGCUUUCGAGUCGUAAAGUUCUUUUAUAUGGGAAGAUAAUGACGGUACCAUAAGAAGAAGCCCCGGCUAACUACGUGCCAGCAGCCGCGGUAAUACGUAGGGGGCUAGCGUUGUCCGGAAUCACUGGGCGUAAAGGGUUCGCAGGCGGAAAUGCAAGUCAGGUGUAAAAGGCAGUAGCUUAACUACUGUAAGCAUUUGAAACUGCAUAUCUUGAGAAGAGUAGAGGUAAGUGGAAUUUUUAGUGGAGCGGUGAAAUGCGUAGAUAUUAAAAAGAAUACCGGUGGCGAAGGCGACUUACUGGGCUCAUUCUGACGCUGAGGAACGAAAGCGUGGGUAGCAAACAGG